UUCUGAAGCCUUCUUCUCUCGUGCUUCUCACCCCCUCCAAGUUUUAUUAUUGAGAUGAUUCUGUUGAAGUUGGUGAAGUGAAGUUUAUUUCUCCCUCCAAGUUUAUUUCUCAAGUUUAAGGCAUAAUAUCUUGAAAAUAUUCAGUUUAAAUCCAUUUACUGGAAGCUUAAGUGUCUAUUUCUUUCAUUUUCUAAAUUGUGCCUUAUUUCUCAUCCAUUGGUAGCUAUUUCUUGAAGAGGAUAAAGAAACAAAUGCUUGAAGAGAGCUAGUUUUGUUCGCAGUUCCUGGAUAUAUCAGACGCUGCAGUUUGCACCCCUGCAUAAAGGUAAUUAUGUAGAAGUAAUUAUGUCUAUUUGAAAUGACUUCCCAUUAUCCAGCUUAUGGAGGAUCUAUAAAUAAAAAAUAAAAGGAUUUACUCAAAUUUGAACUUCUGGAUAUUAGUUUGACUCUUGAUUUUUGGUAAUUGGCAGGCUCGGGUGAUGGUAGUAUCUAUGCUUGGAGUGUUCGGAAUGGCAAACAAGUAUGAUUCAUCUCUCUUAUUUUUUUAUCACCUUACAUCCACAUCUUCCAUUCCCUCCCCUCCCCUCUUUUGUUAUUUAUCUGGUUUUCUUUCUAGGUCACUGUUUGUGAUGCUUUUUUUAUUGGUCAUAAAAUCAAAGCAGACGGGAACAUUUUGAUUCUCUAAACAAGCAGGUUUUGGGUUAUUUUAUUGUUUUAGCACCCUACUUCUCUUGUUGGCUUUGAUACCAUGAAAUAAAAUGGAGAAAAAGAGUACCUUCAAGCUAGAGAAUAAAGAAAUCAAAACAUUUUCAAGAGAAAACUCCAUAGAACCACUUUCGUUGAAGGGGGUUUCUACAGGAAGAGUUGCAACUCAGCGUAAUUAAUGGACUGUGGAAUUGAUAUCCUGCUCCAUAGUUCUGUUGUCAAACUUAAUUCCAAACUCCUCAGCUUAGUGAAUCUCACCCAACGAAACACCUAAAUUUUAGAUAUGCACUUUCACCACAAAAAAUGUUUGUUCAAAUCUAAUUAGACAAGUUUUUACUGAAAUUACCAACUUUUAUCCCGAAUCACAAGUAUUUAUAUAUCAAGGGAGACGCGUAGCGGUGACACGGUGAGACUGGAGUGUGGCGGCGAUGUGCUCUGGUGACGGAGUGUUUGUCGCGGUGGGGAUGCAAGUGAUUCCAAUGAUGGGGAUUGUACCUCCGACGGCAGUGGUGGUGGCCGCCGCGGAGGAGGCAGUGACGGUGGUGAGGAGAGAGAGGGGAAUGGAAAUCAUUAUGUGUUUCUUGAGAGAGAAAAAUAUUGUUUGAUUUAAAAUGGGUUUUCUGUGAGGGAAAGUAUUGGGAGAUGUGGAAAAAAAAUAUGAAAAUGACUUAAACACCCCUCCAAAUCCCUUAGCCGAUCACUUUUGACCGGUUAAUCAAAUAAAGUGUGCCUUUUGUUAUAUAUAAUUGAAGUUUAAAAUGUACUUAACACCUUUUUCGGUUUGGGGUGCAAAAGUCAACAAGAGUGUAAUAUUUGGGGUGCAAAGUGUCUUUUAGUCUUAAAUUUUAGAUAUAAAUAAUAUCUGCAAGACUGCAAGUAUAUAUGGCCGAAACUUUGAGUAGUAAUUUCAAUUUUAUUUUUCAUUCACGAUUAACUUCUUUGCAAUUUCUGUUGUUUUCAUUUGGUGGACUUCAAAAGCUCAUAUAGUUUAAUCUAUAUAUAUAUGUAUAACAACGGUAAAAGAUGAGUUGAAUUUUAUGGAAUUUUAAUGUUACUUUGGUUGUUUUUGUUUGUUUCAAGUUAUUUGGCCAUAAUUAAGAGAACCAAUAUUUAUGUUUCAAGUUAUGCCAAGUCGGGGUAUCAUGUUUCAAUCUCUAUUUUAGUGCUAGUCACAUAUAUAUUAACACCAUAUUAUUAGCGCUUAUGUAUGACCUAUAAAGGCGCAAAUCUAGUCUUGAAGUUGUACGUUUUGAUAUCAAUAAUCAACAUAACUUCUACUUGUAUUUUUCUUUAUUUCUAAUGUAUACUUCUCUUGUAUUGCCAUUUAAAUUGACUAUAUAUCAAAUGACUAACGAUGUUUGUUUACAAGUGUGAUUGAGGACUUUCUACUUGCAUAAAAAAGAGCAAAAGUAAGAGGGAUCAUCAAGGGAGAAGCUAAGGACCUACAAAGUUGAUUCCUUGAGUAAUACCAACUGAUCAUGCUAUGGCUCAAACAAUGCUAGAGAUAGAACAUGCACCUGAUCUCCCUCCAGCCCUUAACCCUAACGACCCAGCUCCAGUCCCACAACUUGCUGCUAAUUCCAAUCCUAACACGCACCUCACAUUACAUCAUCAAACAUAUGUAGAUUUUCUUUAUCAAAAUCAGUGUGGUAGGGUGAUGAUAGGAAUUCUUGUUCUGCUAACUUUAGACAUAUACCUAUGUUUCCAUUACAAACCGCAACCCCCUAUAAUAAACCUUUCGAGCGUUAGCCUCCACGAGGCUAACCUUGAUAAUACUAGUAAACAUUUUUCUUACAACAUAACAUUCCAUCUAAAUUUCUCUAACCCAAAUCAUAGGGUUCAUUUACGUCUUCAUGGGAUAGUUGCGAGACUCAUGGUUGCUCACACUGUUGUGGGAACCAAAAACUUACCUCUAUUAGAAAUGAAGGCUCUUGAUUCCCAUUUCUUUUUCAUCAACAUGUUCGGAAGACAUGUUGAAAUUAAACAUAAUUAUGAGAAGAACUUGAGAGAUUCAAUGGAGACUGGCCACUACUUGUAUAACCUAUCUAUUCGAGCAAGAGUGAAAACCACUUUAAGGACCUCCCAAAUAUCUUACAGAUACCCAUUUUUUAGGUUGUGUGUAUUCACAGUCAGUAAACCUCCGGAUGGGGUUCUCUUGUUACAUAAUUGUGGGAUGGAUUGAAAAUACAUAAUAAGGUACGUGUAUAUGUACGUGUUAAUUAAUAUUUUAUCCAAGUUAUUGAAAAAAGAAAUUAAUAUUUUUUGGGCUUCAGGUGGUAGAAGGGUAGGGCUGUCCAUCACAAUUCUGGGAGAUAUCUGAAUUUAUAUAAAACUGGAAAUCAAAAUUGAUGAGCAUAACCUUGUCAGUUUACUGGUAGUGUGUGGUUGAUAUUUAUUAUUAAAUUAAACAUUUCUCAAGUUUUAUGAGGUCUAAACAUAGCCAGAUCUCACUGAUUCUGAUGUUAUACAGCCUCCUUAUCUCGUGCUUCUCACCCCCUCCAAGUUUAUCUUUGGUAACAAGUCCUAUGAAAUAAGUUGUUGUCAAGUUCUUAAUUAUAUAUAUAAUUUAUUAAUGUCUUUUUGUUGAGAUAUUUGUUGUGUAGAUAAUUGAUGCAACCAUAUCUAUAGGAUUCCUUGUAACAAAUUGUGUUUACCAGAGCAUGUUUCUAGUUGUGGAGAUGGUGCGAUUAUCUCAGGAGGAACUAUCGGAGUCCUGGAAUUUAGAACAUAAUCUGGAUGUAGGGUCUAUUGUUUUUUUUUCAGAUUGGUAACAAAUAUCUGUGGAGCUAGUUUCAAAGUGAAUCCAUAUUCUUAAGUAAAUAGCGCUAGCGAAUUUCUUGUUCAAGUAAAAUUAAUGUAAAACUCUGCAUCUUCACACAAAAUAUUGUUUGACUAAUCAUUUUAAUGUUGAUUCUCUUAUCAUGGAUUUUACCAUAUCUUUGCAGAAGUUUAUUAACAUAUCUAUAACAGUUUCAAAAGAUGAAUCAAAUUUAUUAAUGAUAAGAAGAAUUUAAGGUCCUGGCUACAAGAAAAGUGAACAUGAUAUGGAAUAUAGAAAGUUUUUAGCUUGGGCUUGUUUUAUCAUUUUAUGUUAUUUUUGUAGUCUAUCUAAAUUGGAUUAAGAAGGACCUUCUGGGGGAGGUUUUAUCUAAUCAAAAUUUCUCAAAUUUGGGUAAAUGAAAGUUAUUUCAUUUUGCUUGUUUGAGAUGCCACAUAAUCUGUAUAGAUAUUAUUAGUUUAUGUUUUUCUUGCUCAUGUUUUAGGAUUUGAAGGAAGCAAUUGUUAAGGGUUUAGGGUUUCAGACCAAGGAUUUAAAGAUAUCUGGGUUUGAUUUGAGGCGAUCUGUGGCUUAUGAAUUCUACCAAGUGUUCUGUUUGAGAUGUUAUUAAUAUUUUGUGGACCUCAUUAGAGAUUUGACAUGUUCUGUUUGAGAUGUUAUUAAUCCAUUUAAAGUUAAAAGCCCCUAUGUUUAUCUGUUUUUUAUUAUUGAUUGAUAGAGUACAGGGUGCAUUCCUAUAAUAGAAAUGGUCUUUGUGCCUUGGGAUUUAUGGAUGAUCAUUACCCCUAUGGUCUUGUUCCCUAUCAGUAGUUAGACACACAUACAAAAAGCUAUAGAUGUAGAUUACGUUUGUCUUUUUUGAUUAAAUUUUAGAUAUAAAUAAUAUCUGCAAGACUGCAAGUAUAUAUGGCCGGAACUUUGAGUAGUAAUUUCAAUUUUAAUUUUUCAUUCACGGUUAACUUCUUUGCAAUUUCUGUUGUUUUCAUUUGGUGGACUUCAUAAGCUCAUAUAGUUUAAUCUAUUGGGUAGUCUUUCUGUUAUGGUGAUAAAAGAUGAGUUUAAUCUAUAUAUGUAUAACAAUGGUCGUAAAAGAUGAGUUGAAUUUUAUGAAAUUUAAAUGUUACUUUGGUUGUUUUUGUUUGUUUCAAGUUGUUUGGCCAUAAUUAAGAGAGCCAAUAUUUAUGUUUUAAGUUAUACCAAGUCGGGGUAUCAUGUUUCAAUCUCUAUUUUAGUGCUAGUCACAUAUAUAUUAACACCAUAUUAUUAGCACUUUUGUAUGACCUAUGAAGGCGCAAAUCUAGUCUUGAAGUUGUGCGUUUUGAUAUCAAUAAUCAACAUAACUUCUACUUGUAGUUUUCUUUAUUUCUAAUGUAUACUUCUCUUGUAUUGCCAUUUAAAUUGUCUAUAUUUCAAAUGACUAACUAUGUUUGUUUACAGGUGUUAUUGAGUACUUUCUACUUGCAUAAAAAGGAGCAAAAGUAAAAGGGAUCAUCAAGGGAGAAGCUAAGGACCUACAAAGUUGAUGCCUUGAGUAAUACCAAUUGAUCAAGCUAUGGCUCAAACAAUGGAUUAGGGUUGUGUAGUUAUGUUAUUCGUUGCAAGUUGAUUGUAAAUG
rnacentral:lncRNA from 1 species